rnacentral:rRNA from 1 species
AGAGUUUGAUCAUGGCUCAGAUUAAACGCUGGCGGCAGGCCUAACACAUGCAAGUCGAGCGGCAGCGGAAAGUAGCUUGCUACCUUGACGGCGAGCGGCGGACGGGCGAGUAAUAUCUGGGGAUCUGCCUGAUGGAGGGGGAUAACUACUGGAAACGGUAGCUAAUACCGCAUGACCUCGAAAGAGCAAAGUGGGGGACCCUCGGGCCUCACGCCAUCGGAUGAACCCAGAUGGGAUUAGCUAGUAGGUGGGGUAACGGCUCACCCAGGCGACGAUCCCUAGCUGGUCUGAGAGGAUGACCAGCCACACUGGAACUGAGACACGGUCCAGACUCCUACGGGAGGCAGCAGUGGGGAAUAUUGCACAAUGGGCGCAAGCCUGAUGCAGCCAUGCCGCGUGUGUGAAGAAGGCCUUCGGGUUGUAAAGCACUUUCAGCGAGGAGGAAGACAUUGUGGUUAAUAACAGCAGUGAUUGACGUUACUCGCAGAAGAAGCACCGGCUAACUCCGUGCCAGCAGCCGCGGUAAUACGGAGGGUGCAAGCGUUAAUCGGAAUUACUGGGCGUAAAGCGCACGCAGGCGGUUUGUUAAGUCAGAUGUGAAAUCCCCGCGCUUAACGUGGGAACUGCAUUUGAAACUGGCAAGCUAGAGUCUUGUAGAGGGGGGUAGAAUUCCAGGUGUAGCGGUGAAAUGCGUAGAGAUCUGGAGGAAUACCGGUGGCGAAGGCGGCCCCCUGGACAAAGACUGACACUCAGGUGCGAAAGCGUGGGGAGCAAACAGGAUUAGAU